ACAAAUUCUCUCUAGAGGGCAAAACGUUCCUUCCUCAUCUCCAGAUCUGCUCUUUGUUCUCUCCAUUGUUGGUCAGUGAGCGAAGCUCCUGUUAGCUUCUCCUGUGAAGUUCGUCUCCCGAAUACAUCAAAAGUACGAAUCACCAUUGAUUUGUUGCCCUCAUUGCUCAAGUUUACAAAAGAUUGAAAGAAAUACAAGAGCAAAAAGACAAGCAAGUGAAGAUGAAAUCUAUGGGCGUCCAGAUCAAAUGAUGGAAGUGCAGGAGAACCUUCAGGCAUCAGUACUGAAUGUUGAACACAACUUACUGAAUGUUCAACAGCAACUCCAAAGUGUGGUUGAGCAACUACAGCAAUACAACAAGAACAAGUCUAUCCUAGGAGAUGGUUUGACUGCAGCCAUGGACAAGGGAUCUAACUCUAAAGCUGCCAUACACAACCCCUUCAAACAGGAAGGGGGUAGCAUCUUUAGGCAGGAACAACACAGCUCACAAAGCAAAGGGACCUACAAUGUUUUGAACAGACUAGAGUUCCCUUACUUUGAUGGGAAAAAUGGUAGAUGUUGGGUGAGGAGGUGCUCGAGAUACUUUGAAUUGAUACCCAUACCUGGAUCAAAAGGUAUCUAUGGCAUCUAUCUAUAUGCAAGGAAAAUCAGAACUCUAGUACCAAUGCUACACUGAAAAAGGGAGUUCAGUUCUUGAGAUGAACUGGUGUGUUAAUGUCCUAGAAAGGUUUGAGGAGCUGGAUAAUGAAAGGGUCAUGACAGAGUUCAAUAAAAUCCACCAUGAGACCAUGGUAAAUGUGUACCUGGAAAAUGAGCAUCCACGGUCAAUUGGAAUGGCUUAAUCCACCCUUUUUCUUUUCUCUGUUAAGCCUUCUAU